AUGAACACGCGCCCUUAUCGGUACUCUUCGCUCCAGAAGGACGAGAUCGAGCCCCGAGUCAAGGAAAUGCUCGACGCCGGCGUGAUCAUGCACAGUGUCAGCCCGUACGCCACCCCUGUGCUGUUGGUCAAGAAGAAGGACGACACGUGGAGGUUCUGUGUCGACUACCGCCAGCUCAAAGACGCCACCAUUAAAAACAAGUUCUUGUUGCCCGUUGUCGAUGAACUGGCAGGCGCGACCGUCUUCUCCAAGCUGGGGUAUCAUCAAAUCAGAAUGCAUGAAGAGGACGAAUCCAGGACCACGUUCAAGACGCACCACGAGCAUUUCCAGUUCCGGGUCAUGCUGUUCGGGCUGACGAACGCGCCGACCACCUUCCAGUGCUUGAUGAACACGAUCUUCAGUAAGUACGUGUGCAAGUUUGUUAUCAUUUUUCUAGAUGACAUCCUCGUCUUUAGUGAAACGAUGGAAGAACACCUGGAGCACCUGCGGAUCGUCUUCGAGCUCCUCCGCGCGCACCAGCUAUUCGUCAAGGAGUCCAAAUGCAGCUUCGCCUGCGACCACAUCGACUACCUCGGACACGUGAUCUCUAAGGAGGGCGUCACCAUGGACGAAGAGAAGACGAAAGCCAUGGAGCAGUGGCCAAGGCCGAUGAACGCCACCGAGCUGCGCGGUUUCCUGGGCCUCACUAGCUACUACAGGAAAUUCGUGCUGCACUAUGGCAUCAUCGCCAAGCCCCUCACGCAGCUCCUCACUAAGAAGAGGUUCGCUUGGAAUGAUCAAGUGCAGGUGGCAUUCGACACGCUUAAGACGGUGAUGACAACUACACCAGUGCUAGCCCUGCCCAACUUUGACAUGCCGUUUUUGAUCGAGACCGAUGCGUGCGACACCGGCAUCAGCACGAUGCUUGUCCAGGAAGGCCACCCCGUCGCCUUCUUCAGCAAGGCGCUCGGCGUGCGCAACCAGAAGCUCUCGACGUACGAGAAGGAGUUCUUGGCGGUGAUGAUGGCGAUUGACAAGUGGCUCCCCUACCUGCAGCGCGGCCCCUUUGACAUCCUCACCGACAACAAGUCGCUCUACAACCUGGGAGAGGAGCACUUGGAGAUUGAAUUGCAACGCAAGGCCAUGGCGAAGCUGGUCAAUUGUAGUUCAAAUUCCAGUACAAGCACAUACUGGAUAAUGGCGCCGCGGACGCCCUGUCACGCGUCGGGAAAUAGCUCGACCUGGCCACGCUCUCGGCGUGUUAGCCAACAUGGAUUCAGGAGGUGCUCAAUUCCUACUCCAUCGAUCCUGAUGCCGAAGAUCUCCUGCAGAAGCUCGCCAUCACCAGCCCUACGGCUACGAGCCACACCACGGCGUCAUCCGUUGCGGCGGGCGGUUGUGGAUUGGCGUUAA
rnacentral:rRNA from 1 species